rnacentral:rRNA from 1 species
GGACGGGUGAGUAACGCGUGAGGAACCUGCCUUUCAGAGGGGGACAACAGUUGGAGACGACUGCUAAUACCGCAUGAUACGUUUUGGGGGCAUCCCUGAGACGUCAAAGAUUUAUCGCUGAAAGAUGGCCUCGCGUCUGAUUAGCUAGUUGGUGAGGUAACGGCCCACCAAGGCGACGAUCAGUAGCCGGACUGAGAGGUUGACCGGCCACAUUGGGACUGAGAUACGGCCCAGACUCC